UACGGAGGGUGCAAGCGUUAUCCGGAUUUACUGGGUUUAAAGGGCGCGUAGGCGGCUCUGCACGUUCGUUGUGAAAUCGCCCGGCUCAACUGGGCGGGGUCAGCGGAUACGGCAGAGCUUGAGCAAGCUAGGGGGCAAUGGAAUUCCCGGUGUAGUGGUGGAAUGCGUAGAUAUCGGGAGGAACACCAGUGGCGAAGGCGGUUGCCUGGGGCUUGGCUGACGCUGAUGCGCGAAAGCGUGGGGAGCGAUCCGG
rnacentral:rRNA from 1 species